rnacentral:rRNA from 1 species
UUAAGUGACUAAGCGUACAUGGUGGAUGCCUUGGCAGUCAGAGGCGAUGAAGGACGUACUAACCUGCGAUAAGCCGUGAGCAGUCGGUAAGAGACAUUACGACUCACGGAUUUCCGAAUGGGGAAACCCACUUAGCAUAAGCUAGGUAUCGCUGCGUGAAUACAUAGCGUAGCGAGGCGAACCGGGAGAACUGAAACAUCUAAGUACCCCGAGGAAAAGAAAUCAACCGAGAUUCCCUCAGUAGCGGCGAGCGAACGGGGAUUAGCCCUUAAGCAUCUUGGAAGUUAGUGGAACGGUCCUGGAAAGGCCGGCGAUACAGGGUGAUAGCCCCGUACACGAAAACAACCUUGAUGUGAAAUCGAGUAGGGCGGGACACGUGACAUCCUGUCUGAAUAUGGGGGGACCAUCCUCCAAGGCUAAAUACUCCUGACUGACCGAUAGUGAACCAGUACCGUGAGGGAAAGGCGAAAAGAACCCCUGUGAGGGGAGUGAAAUAGAACCUGAAACCGUGUACGUACAAGCAGUGGGAGCCCUUCGGGGUGACUGCGUACCUUUUGUAUAAUGGGUCAGCGACUUACAUUUUGUAGCGAGGUUAACCGUAUAGGGGAGCCGUAGGGAAACCGAGUCUUAACUGGGCGUCUAGUUGCAAGGUGUAGACCCGAAACCGGGUGAUCUAGCCAUGGGCAGGUUGAAGGUUGAGUAACAUCAACUGGAGGACCGAACCCACUAACGUUGCAAAGUUAGGGGAUGACCUGUGGCUGGGGGUGAAAGGCCAAUCAAACUCGGAGAUAGCUGGUUCUCCCCGAAAGCUAUUUAGGUAGCGCCUCGGACGAAUACUACUGGGGGUAGAGCACUGUUUGGGCUAGGGGGUCAUCCCGACUUACCAACCCCAUGCAAACUCCGAAUACCAGUAAGUAAUAUCCGGGAGACACACGGCGGGUGCUAACGUCCGUCGUGAAGAGGGAAACAACCCAGACCGCCGGCUAAGGUCCCAAAGUUCUGGUUAAGUGGGAAACGAUGUGGGAAGGCUCAGACAGCUAGGAUGUUGGCUUAGAAGCAGCCAUCAUUUAAAGAAAGCGUAAUAGCUCACUAGUCGAGUCGGCCUGCGCGGAAGAUGUAACGGGGCUCAAACCAGGCACCGAAGCCGCGGAUUCACGCUAAGCGUGAGUGGUAGGGGAGCGUUCUGUAAGUCUGCGAAGGUGUAUCGAGAGGUAUGCUGGAGAUAUCAGAAGUGCGAAUGCUGACGUAAGUAACGAUAAAGGGGGUGAAAAGCCUCCUCGCCGGAAGACCAAGGGUUCCUGUCCAACGUUAAUCGGGGCAGGGUGAGUCGACCCCUAAGGCGAGGCCGAAAGGCGUAGUCGAUGGGAAGCAGGUUAAUAUUCCUGCACGACUUGUAAUUGCGAUGGGGGGACGGAGAAGGCUAGGUGGGCCAGGCGACGGUUGUCCUGGUGAAAGUGCGUAGGUGGUGUUUCUAGGCAAAUCCGGAGACACAACACUGAGACACGAGACGAACACACUACGGUGUGGAAGCCAUUGAUGCCCUGCUUCCAGGAAAAGCCUCUAAGCUUCAGAUUACAAGUCAUCGUACCCCAAACCGACACAGGUGGUCGGGUAGAGAAUACCAAGGCGCUUGAGAGAACUCGGGUGAAGGAACUAGGCAAAAUAGAACCGUAACUUCGGGAGAAGGUUCGCUCUUGACAGUGAAGUCCCUUGCGGAUGGAGCAGUUGGGAGUCGCAGUGACCAGAUGGCUGGGACUGUUUAUCAAAAACACAGCACUCUGCAAACACGAAAGUGGACGUAUAGGGUGUGACACCUGCCCGGUGCCGGAAGGUUAAUUGAUGGGGUUAGCGCAAGCGAAGCUCUUGAUCGAAGCCCCGGUAAACGGCGGCCGUAACUAUAACGGUCCUAAGGUAGCGAAAUUCCUUGUCGGGUAAGUUCCGACCUGCACGAAUGGUGUAACCAUGGCCAUGCUGUCUCCACCCGAGACUCAGUGAAAUCGAAUUCGCCGUGAAGAUGCGGUGUACCCGCGGCUAGACGGAAAGACCCCGUGAACCUUUACUACAGCUUGGCACUGAACAUUGAACCUACAUGUGUAGGAUAGGUGGGAGGCUUUGAAGGCGUGACGCCAGUUGCGCUGGAGCCGUCCUUGAAAUACCACCCUUGUAUGUUUGAUGUUCUAACGCAGGCCCGUGAAUCCGGGUCGCGGACAGUGCCUGGUGGGUAGUUUGACUGGGGCGGUCUCCUCCCAAAGAGUAACGGAGGAGCACGAAGGUUGGCUAAUCCUGGUCGGACAUCAGGAGGUUAGUGCAAUGGCAUAAGCCAGCUUAACUGCGAGACGGACAGGUCGAGCAGGUACGAAAGUAGGUCAUAGUGAUCCGGUGGUUCUGAAUGGAAGGGCCAUCGCUCAACGGAUAAAAGGUACUCCGGGGAUAACAGGCUGAUACCGCCCAAGAGUUCAUAUCGACGGCGGUGUUUGGCACCUCGAUGUCGGCUCAUCACAUCCUGGGGCUGAAGUCGGUCCCAAGGGUAUGGCUGUUCGCCAUUUAAAGUGGUACGCGAGCUGGGUUCAGAACGUCGUGAGACAGUUCGGUCCCUAUCUGCCGUGGGCGUUGGAUGAUUGAAGGGAGUUGCUCCUAGUACGAGAGGACCGGAGUGAACGAACCUCUGGUGUUCGGGUUGUCACGCCAGUGGCACUGCCCGGUAGCUAAGUUCGGAAUCGAUAACCGCUGAAAGCAUCUAAGCGGGAAGCGAGCCCUGAGAUGAGUCAUCCCUGACCCCUUGAGGGUCCUAAAGGGCCGUUGGAGACCACAACGUUGAUAGGUGGGGUGUGUAAGCGCGGCGACGUGUUGAGCUAACCCAUACUAAUUACCCGUGAGGCUUAACCA